CAGCAAAAUAGGUGGAAGGUGAUUUGAAUCACUCCAAAGUCAGGCUUGGAGUCCCAAGUCUGACCUGGAAAAUGGACUCUAGCUCUGCCUCUUAUCCCACACAUGUAUGUGUCUGUGUGAACAUGUGUGUGUGUUGGUGGUUUGGUUUGGUUUGUUUUCCUCUUAUGUACUUGGGAAGCAGUUGCUGAGGGUCUUGCAGAGCUCUGUUUCCUCCAGUGUAGCAUAGCAGCAGGUGCAGGGGUCCAAAGCUAUGGUGGCAAAAUGAAGAAUGAAAGGAAUAAAUUGCACACUAUCAUUUCAACCUGUAACCCAGUGAAUCAGACUGAAGGUAGGAUGUCUAUAUACCCUUCAUUUCAGGGGCCCCUAGAGAAUAUACCUUAGCUUUCCCUCUUCCGGCAUCCUGGAAAGUGGAUACCUGUGGCCUUCCUUUCACUUUGAAAGCUUACACCCUCAUUUUGACUACAACUAAUACUAAAAGCUUGGCAUCUUGCUUGAGAUCAGUGUUUGCUAUGCCAAACACCUUCUCCUCUUUCUAUUGAAAGCAAAACAUAGGAAAAUAAUUUGAAAUACUUUUAAGGCAUCUUAAAAACAUGACUUUCUCAUCUUAUGGAAAAGCAGACCAAUUUUGCUUUUUUUUCCCAACUUGUUCUCCAGACUGUGCCAAUAAAAUGUGUUCAUAGCAGGAAAAUUUGGAAAAUACAGAAAAGCACUAUGAAGAAAACAAAAUGUACCCAAAAUCCCAUCACUCAGAUAACGUCACUGUUAGUGUUUUGAUAUGUAUUUCCAGUCUUUUCUAUUGUGUUAAUUUUUCAUUUUGUUUUUGAAUAAAUAACUUUCAGGAAAGAAAUUGAGCCUUUUCUGCCACCUCUGAAGCCUGAUUACUGUGUGAAGCAGGCCAUGAAGGCCAUCCUCACUGACCAGCCCAUGAUCUGCACUCCCCGCCUCAUGUACAUCGUGACCUUCAUGAAGAGCAUCCUACCAUUUGAAGCAGUUGUGUGCAUGUAUCGGUUCCUAGGAGCGGACAAGUGUAUGUACCCCUUUAUUGCUCAAAGAAAGCAAGCCACAAACAAUAAUGAAGCAAAAAAUGGAAUCUAAGAAUCUUUUUGUAUGGAAUAUUACUUCUAUCAGAAGAUGAUCAAGAUGUUUCAGUCCAGUGCACAUCAGCAUUGCUGACAUUUUAUGGAUUCUAAACUUGUGUUGUUUCUUUUUUAAAUCAACUUUUUAAAAAAAUAAAGUGUAAAUUAACCGACUAGAGUACUUGGAAAAUGUGAUCAGUACAAGUGAACUUAGGUUGUUGCCAACAGGGUCCUUUUAGGCAGAACCCAGAAACCAGUCAAAUCUGUAGAGAAGCAGUGUGACAUCUUCAG
rnacentral:sRNA from 1 species